AUUGAACGCUGGCGGCAGGCUAAACACAUGCAAGUCGAGCGGAGAUGAGGUGCUUGCACCUUAUCUUAGCGGCGGACGGGUGAGUAAUGCUUAGGAAUCUGCCUAUUAGUGGGGGACAACAUUCCGAAAGGAAUGCUAAUACCGCAUACGUCUUACGGGAGAAAGCAGGGGAUUUUCGGACCUGGCGCUAAUAGAUGAGCCUAAGUCGGAUUAGCUAGUUGGUGGGGUAAAGGCCUACCAAGGCGACGAUCUGUAGCGGGACUGAGAGGAUGAUCGGCCACACUGGGACUGAGACACGGCCCAGACUCCUACGGGAGGCAGCAGUGGGGAAUAUUGGACAAUGGGCGGAAGCCUGAUCCAGCCAUGCCGUGUGUGUGAAGAAGGCCUUUUGGUUGUAAAGCACUUUAAGCGAGGAGGAGGGUACCUAGAUUAAUACUCUGGGAUAGUUGACGUUACUCGCAGAAUAAGCACCGGCUAACUCUGUGCCAGCCGCCGCGGUAACAC
rnacentral:rRNA from 1 species